UUUCAAGUAAAUUUCCUGAAUGAUCAUAUGAGCGCUUUUAUGUAUGUAUAUUUUAUAUUACACGUUUAUCCCAAAUUAGUGAAUUCUACUUUGAUAAAUAUUGAAGAGCAAAGCGACACUAGGAACAGCGAUCUGCAAGUUAAUAACCCCGCAAUAAAUGAGGUUUCUCAAGGCUUUAAUGAGGGCUGCGAACUGCAAGAUGCCGCAUUACUAGUCACACAACCAGGAUUUGUACCACAGAAAACCUCUACAAAAUCUUCAAGACUUAGUCUUAGUCGGAAACGUAAGCAGGCCCGUUCUAUUACCAAUGAUAAAAGGACAU